UGGGGAAUAUUGCACAAUGGGCGGAAGCCUGAUGCAGCGACGCCGCGUGGGGGAUGAAGGCCUUCGGGUUGUAAACUCCUUUCGACAGGGACGAAGCUUUUGUGACGGUACCUGUAUAAGAAGCACCGGCUAACUACGUGCCAGCAGCCGCGGUAAUACGUAGGGUGCGAGCGUUGUCCGGAAUUACUGGGCGUAAAGAGCUCGUAGGUGGUUUGUCGCGUCGUCUGUGAAAUUCCGGGGCUUAACUCCGGGCGUGCAGGCGAUACGGGCUGACUUGAGUGCUGUAGGGGAGACCGGAAUUCCUGGUGUAGCGGUGAAAUGCGCAGAUAUCAGGAGGAACACCGAUGGCGAAGGCAGGUCUCUGGGCAGUAACUGACGCUGAGGAGCGAAAGCAUGGGUAGCGAACAGGAUUAGAUACCCUGGUAGUCCAUGCCGUAAACGGUGGGCGCUAGGUGUAGGGGGCUUCCACGUCUUCUGUGCCGUAGCUAACGCAUUAAGCGCCCCGCCUGGGGAGUACGGCCGCAAGGCUA
rnacentral:rRNA from 1 species